rnacentral:rRNA from 1 species
CUCAACUCGGGGAGCGGCAUGGGUAGUGCCAGUCUUGAUAGCAGUCGGCGGACGGUGGAAUUCCCGGUGUAGCGGUGAAAUGCGUAGGGGUCUGGAGGAUCACCAGUGGUGAAGGGGAUCAUAGCUGGUUUUUAUGACGCUGAAGAGAGGAAGCGACAGGGGCAUACCGGGUUAGACACCCCAGUAGUCGGACCCUUAAACGAU